rnacentral:rRNA from 1 species
AUUGAACGCUGGCGGCAGGCUUAACACAUGCAAGUCGAGCGGAGUGAUGGUGCUUGCACUAUCACUUAGCGGCGGACGGGUGAGUAAUGCUUAGGAAUCUGCCAUUUAGUGGGGGACAACAUUCCGAAAGGAAUGCUAAUACCGCAUACGUCCUACGGGAGAAAGCAGGGGAUCUUCGGACCUUGCGCUAAAUGAUGAGCCUAAGUCGGAUUAGCUAGUUGGCGGGGUAAAGGCCUACCAAGGCGACGAUCUGUAGCGGGUCUGAGAGGAUGAUCCGCCACACUGGGACUGAGACACGGCCCAGACUCCUACGGGAGGCAGCAGUGGGGAAUAUUGGACAAUGGGCGGAAGCCUGAUCCAGCCAUGCCGCGUGUGUGAAGAAGGCCUUUUGGUUGUAAAGCACUUUAAGCGAGGAGGAGGCUCUCCUAGUUAAUACCUAGGAAGAGUGGACGUUACUCGCAGAAUAAGCACCGGCUAACUCUGUGCCAGCCGCCGCCGUAAGAC